ensembl:snRNA U6 U6 spliceosomal RNA
AUCCUCACUUUGGCAGCACAUACACUAAAACUGGAAAAAUACAGAGAAGACUAACAGGGCCCCUGCACAAGGAUGACACACAAAUUCGACAAACUUAUUUUCUUCUC